CCGCCCCGUUGCUGUCUACUCCGGCCACCCGUAGGGGCAAGGGGGGCGUGCCGGUCGCGCCCGCUCGUCGUAGCGCCCGGCUCGACAAGAAGAAGGCAAAAGCCCCGCCCGGGGUUGCUACAGAGGCGGUCCAGGAGCUCAUUGCCAAGGUCUGUGGUGUACUGGACCCGUCUGUUGGAUACGACGACAAGGCUAAGCAGGCCUACCUUGACUUGUUCAACACCCCGCUCGCGGCCCCCGUGGUCCAGGCUAUUGCUGGACUGGUAGCGCACGCCAAGGAUAUCACCCAGAAGAAGGCGUAGAAGAACAAGAAGAAGGCCGCCCAGGAGGUUGCAAACGCUGUUGCCCAGGUCGCUGAUGUGUAGGCUCCCUUGCUGCCGUUGCUUGUUGGGCUCCUCUCCUGCGAGCAUGAUGUAUACCGUUCCUUUCCUGCUCUUCGUUUUCGUCGUCCAGAACCAUGUAUCUUCGCGACUGGAGGUCGCCUAUCUUCCCUACAUUGUGUCACCAAGCUCAAGUCUGCUAGCUGCAUUUUGUUGGAAUAUUAGGCAAGUUCAUGAUUAAUUCCAGUAAAUAAUUCAUGACUAGAAGAGAUACUAGCAUGCAAUAAUCUAGCAAACUAGAAGAACAGCAAGACAUGCAUAACAGCAGCAAACACGUAACAAUAGCUGUAGAAACAGACAUGAACAGAGGAUGUUGGACGUACUGAUCGUUAGCUAUUAUGGGUGCGACAGUGUUGAUGACGAUGUUGGCGACGAUCUGCUGCUGACGGCGAUGAAUACGACGAUGAGUAGCACCGCCCGACUUGGACGGAAGACGACCCGUGAUGACGAAUUUGAGCAGUCGCGCACAGCGCUUCCCAAAAACCUAAUUCGUCCUCUCCCGGUGCAGGAUCGCAAAGACGAACGGUUCCGGAGACCUGCUCUCCCACGCGCCGAUGCACGCCGGCGUUUGGGAUGGAGUAGACUACGAUGGCGGCGCAAGUUGUGAGAUGAGGCAAAACCCUAGGUGUUUUUCGGUGUGUCUCUGGCCGCAGCCGGUAGCUGUAUAUAUAUUAGGACCAGAGGCGGUAUUGUGUCGCGACCACAAUCCCAAACCGACUCGGUUUCUAAUUCGUAUACUUACCGGGGCGAGGCGAGCGAGCGUGCGCGUGUGGUUUUCCCUUUCUCUUCUCACACACCACUUAGAGUGGUGGAGAGAACCCACUAUAUAAAGAGGUCCAACUCUUCUUCAACUUCCAAGGUGGGACUAAACUUAGCACCACCACUUGCCAUUUUACACAUGGGCUUUGAGAUUUCAGAAAUUGCUAUGGGCCUAGCCCAUUAAUUCUAACAAUCCCCCACCAGAUCUCAAAUACCCAUUUAGAGAUUUGCCUUCUCUCAUCACUUGUUUAAUAUACCAGUGUUUCAGCAGAGACUGUUAAGUUGAACUUCUGCCUAGAACUUUAAGCUACAUCCAUUCACAACUUGACAAUGGACUAUGCCUUGAAUUGCUAGUUUUGUGUGAACAGGUUUCACUCAAAGUCUUAACCAGUACCUGACCGCCAGUAGGCUACCCCGCGGUUUGGAGCUUAUACGUCAUACUCCCUGGUCUCUUCGUGAGCUUACUAGAGAUCACCCAAAUCUCAUAGACUGCGACGUUUACAGUCAGAACUCAUAUAGGUGUGUUCUUUCAAGACUGCUCUGUAGGACAGCAUCUUUGCUAAUUAUAGCCAAUAGAACCACAUUAAGGCAUGUUGCCAACCUGCCUUAUAGAUCUGAGCCUUACAGCUCUGAGAGUUUUGCAUCUUCACUUGGAGACGAUCAUAAGUUAUUACUCUCCUCAGUUAACCAAUAGCUUGUUCUUUCCAGAUCCUAAUUCACGGGAUCUCCGAUCACAAAGGUUGGGUUACUACUAUGGUGUAACAUCUAUGGGUCUCAUACCCAUCUCCCUCGAUGCAAUAUCUAUCACAUUUCGUGAUAGUCCCUUUGUAAAGGGAUCUGCCAGGUUUUUGUCUGUUUGUAUAUACGUAACAGUUAUUACUCCGGAGUUUCUCAACUUCCUGACAGACUUCAAACGUCUUUUCACGUGUCUUGAUGACUUUGCAUUAUCUUUAGAAUUGUUCACUUUAGCGAUAACCGUUUGGUUAUCACAAUUCAUAAGAAUAGCCGGUACAGGUUUUUCAACAACCGGCAAGUCCAUCAAGAGCUCACGCAGCCAUUCUGCCUCAACAGUAGCUGUGUCCAAAGCAGUUAAUUCUGCUUCCAUAGUUGACCUCGUCAAUAUGGUUUGCUUGCAAGACCUCCAUGACACUGCGCCACCACCAUGAGUAAAUACAUACCCACUUGUUGCGUAAAGUACAUCAACAUCGGAGAUCCAAUUUGAAUCACUAUAUCCUUCUAGCACAGCAGGAUGCCCUGAAUAAGUAAUUCCGUAACUCAUAGUACCUCUCAGAUAGUGCAAGACCCUUUCUAGUGCAUGCCAAUGAUCAUCACCCGGGUUGGACAUGAACCUACUCAGUUUGCUCACAGCAAAAGAGAUAUCUGGUCUUGUAGCGCUAGCUAAGUACAUGAGUGAACCGACAAUUUGAGAGUAUCUUAAUUGAUCUCUCGUUUCUUUCUUGUUCUUUCUGAGUGUCACGCUGGGAUCAUAAGGUGUUGGAGAAGGCUUGCUAUCCAUAAAACCGAAUCGGUGCAAGACCUUCUCAACAUAGUGAGAUUGCGUUAAUGUAAUCCCACUCUCAUCCUUAAUAAGUUUGAUGUUUAGAAUUACAUCGACUUCUCCCAGAUCUUUCAUGUCAAAACUUUUUGAUAGAAAAGACUUGACCUCAUUAAUUGCAUUAAUGUUUGUACCAAAGAUCAGUAUGUCGUCCACAUACAAACAUGAUAUGACACUAUUGCCCCCACCAUGGCGAUAGUAAACACACCUAUCAGCCUCGUUAAUGACAAAUCCUGCAGAAGUCAGAGUUCUUUCAAACUUCUCCUGCCAUUGCUUAGGUGCCUGUUUCAGACCAUACAAAGAUUUUAACAACUUGCACACCUUUCUCUCUUCACCCUUUAACACAAACCCGUCAGGCUGAUCCAUAUAGAUCUCCUCUUCCAACUCUCCAUUGAGAAAAGCUGUCUUUACAUCCAUUUGAUGAAUGAUAAGACCCUAAGAGGCAGCCAAGGAAAGUAACACUCGAAUGGUGGUCAUUCUAGCAACGGGUGAAUAGGUGUCAAAGUAAUCUUCGCCUUCUUUCUGAGUGUAGCCCUUGGCCACUAGCCGCGCCUUGUACUUAUCAAUAGUACCAUCAGGCUUUAGCUUCUUUUUGAACACCCACUUACAGCCCACAGGUUUACAACCAUAUGGUCUAUCAGUUAGUUCCCAAGUUCCAUUAGAAAGAAUUGAGUCCAUCUCAUUAUGAACAGCUUCUUUCCAAUCAUCUACAUCCGGAGAUGCAUAUGCUUCUGCAAUCGUCUUGGGUGUGCCGUCCACAAGGUAUACAAUGAAAUCAUCACCAAAGGAUUUUGCAAUCCUUUGUCUCUUGUUCCUUCUAGGAACUUCAUUGUUAUCCUUCUCAAGGACUUCCUCAUGUGAUUGUUCGAAAUAUUCAUCAGUUGUACUAGAUUCAGGAAUUAUCUCAGAAGGAAAUCUAGCAAUGCUAUGCAUAUCUUUCAUAGGAAAUAUGUUCUCAAAAAAUGUUGCAUCACGAGAUUCUAUUAUAGUAUCAACAUGCAUAUCAGGUACUUCAGAUUUUACCACUAAAAACCUAUAAGCAAUGCUCCGUUGAGCAUACCCUAGAAAGACACAAUCCACUGUCUUUGGUCCAAGUUUCGUUUCUUAGGAAUAGGAAUAUUGACCUUUGCCAAACAUCCCCAAGUGCGCAAAUAAGAAAGUGAUGGUUUUCUCCCAACCCACUCCUCAUAAGGGGUUUUCUCUUUAUUAUUGUUGGGAACUCUAUUCAGGACAUGACAUGAAGUCAAUAGAGCCUCCCCCCACCAUGCCUUAGAUAAACCAGCAGUGUCUAACAUGGCAUUCACCAAGUCAGUCAAUGUGCGGUUUUACCUCUCGGCCACUCCAUUUGAUUGAGGUGAAUAGGGAGGCGUCCUCUCAUGAAUAAUACCAUGUUCCUCACAAAAUUCAUCAAAAACUUUUGGAAAAUACUCUCCACCACGAUCGGACCUAAGACGCUUGAUCUUUCUCUCUAGUUGAUUUUCAACUUCAGCUUUAUAGAUUUUAAAGUAGUCUAAUGCUUCAUCUUUAGUUUGCAACAAAUAAACAUAGCAAAAUCUAGUCGCAUCAUCAAUCAGAGUCAUGAAAUAUCUCUUUCCACCUUUUGUCAACACACCAUUCAUCUCACAAAGAUCAGAAUGUAUGAGUUCUAGAGGUGCCAAGUUUCUCUCCUCGGCAGCCUUAUGAGGCUUUCGAGGUUGCUUAGAUUGCACACAACUAUGGCACUUAGAACCUUUGGCAACUGUGAAGUUCGGAAUUAAACUCAUGCUGGAUAGCCGAGACAUUAAACCAAAAUUAAUAUGACAUAAACGAGAGUGCCAAAUACUUGCAUCAUCAUUAACAUUAGCACAAAUUUGGUUUAUUGACUUAUUGCAAAAAUCUGAAAGAGAAAAGCGGAACAAGCCUCCGCACUCAUAGCCUUUUCCUAUAAAUUGUCCAAAUCUUGACACGAUUACUUUAUUGGACUCUAAAACUACCUUAAAUCCAUCUCGACAUAGAAGGGAGCCGCUAACUAGAUUCUUGUUCAUAGUAGGGACAUGCUGCACGUUCCUUAGUUGCACGAUCUUUCCCGAAGUAAACUUCAGAUCCACCGUGCCAAUGCCACGAACAGAAGCAUGUGACCCAUUCCCCAUUAGGACGGAAGAAUCCCUUGCGACCUGAUAAGAAGUAAACAGGGAGAUGUCAGCACACACAUGAACGUUAGCACCCGAAUCAAUCCACCACGAAGAUGAUUAAAAUACUGAAAGCACAAUAGGUAAAUUACCAUACCCAUCAGUAUUGCUAGCGGUCACCAUGUUGACAGUCUUGGAGCUUGUUUUCCCUCUGCGGUCUGCACGUUCAGGGCAUUCCUUGGAAAAGUGUCCAGGCUUCCCACAGGCGUAGCACUCUAGCUCAGCCUUGUUGAACUUCUUCUUCUUGAAAGUAGUAGUCUUGGUAGGCUUGUUGAAAACAGGUUUGUUCUUCCCUUUGUUCUUGUUCUGUGGGUACCUCUGCACCAUGUUAGCAGUAGGCUGAACCUCACCUCCUUUUUCAGUGGUAUCUUUAGCCCGAGCUUUUUCUUCAACAUCAAGAGAUGCAAUCAGAUUUUCAACUGAUAUCUCCUGUCUCUUAUGCUUCAGAGUUGUGGCGAAAUUCCUCCAUGAAGGAGGCAACUUUGCAAUCAUGCACCCAGCCACGAAUUUAUCGGGUAGAACACAUUUAAGGAGUUCAAGUUCCUUCACAAUGCACUGUAUCUCAUGAGCUUGUUCAACCACAGAACGGUUAUUCACCAUCUUGUAGUCAUGAAAACUCUCCAUGAUGUACAGUUCACUGCCUGCAUCUGUUGCACCGAAUUUUGCAUUCAGUGCAUCCCACAGAAUUUUUCCGUCGUUUAUGUGCAUGUACACAUCACACAGACGGUCAGCAAGAACACUCAGAAUGCAUCCCACAAACAUAGUAUUGGCUUCCUGGAAUUUUCUCCGAUCUUCGUCGGUUAUUCCCUCUGGAGCACCAACACUAGCGUGGAAAACUUUCAGAGCAGUAAGCCAGAGCGUGGUCUUCACCUGCCACCUCUUAAAGUGCACACCGGUAAACUUAUCCGGCCUCAGUGCAUCAGCAAAUCCAGCCAUAGUUAACUCAGGAAAUUGCCUACAAUUAGGUUUUUGGAUUGUUGGAAUAUUAGGCAAGUUCAUGAUUAAUUCCAGUAAAUAAAUCAUGACUAGAAGAGAUACUAGCAUGCAAUAAUCUAGCAAACUAGAAGAACAGCAAGACAUGCAUAACAGCAGCAAACACAUAACAAUAGCUGUAGAAACAGACAUGAACAAAGGAUGUUGGACGUACUGAUCGUUAGCUAUUAUGGGUGCGACAGUGUUGAUGACGAUGUUGGCGACGAUCUGCUGCUGACGGCGAUGAAUACGACGAUGAGUAGCACCGCCCGACUUGGACGGAAGACGACCCGUGAUGACGAAUUUGAGCAGUCGCGCACAGCGCUUCCCAAAAACCUAAUUCGUCCUCUCCCGGUGCAGGAUCGCAAAGACGAACGGUUCCGGAGACCUGCUCUCCCACGCGCCGAUGCACGCCGGCGUUUGGGAUGGAGUAGACUACGAUGGCGGCGCAAGUUGUGAGAUGAGGCAAAACCCUAGGUGUUUUUCGGUGUGUCUCUGGCCGCAGCCGGUAGCUGUAUAUAUAUUAGGACCAGAGGCGGUAUUGUGUCGCGACCACAAUCCCAAACCGACUCGGUUUCUAAUUCGUAUACUUACCGGACAAGAAAUCAAAAACUUGUCUGCCAAGACAUAAAAAUAAAACGGCAAAAGGAAGCUGCGCUCCUGCAAGGAGACGGACCGGAUUUCGGCGGACCAUUCACGCGCAUGUCGCAUGUAAGCGCCGCCUCGCCACGCCACGGCCCGGCCAGGCCAGGCGAGGCGAGCGAGCGAGCGCGCGCGUGUGGUUUUCCCUUUCUCUUCUCACACACCACUUAGAGUGGUGGAGAGAACCCACUAUAUAAAGAGGUCCAACUCUUCUUCAACUUCCAAGGUGGGACUAAACUUAGCACCACCACUUGCCAUUUUACACAUGGGCUUUGAGAUUUCGGAAAUUGCUAUGGGCCUAGCCCAUUAAUUCUAACACAUUUCACUCCGUUUCAUUCUUUUUCCUCGGCGCCUCCUGAAGUCUACAUCCACCGUGCUACUUUUAAGUUUCCCAUAUGGCGCAAUCUGACGUAAAAAUCAUCUGCUGGAACGUUCGUGGACUUAACUCGCGCGCUCGCCGUGACGCCGUUCGUGAUAUCGUUUGCG
rnacentral:lncRNA from 1 species